AGGACGAACGCUGGCGGCGUGCUUAACACAUGCAAGUCGAGCGAGGCCCUUCCUUCGGGAAGGUGCCCUAGCGGCGAACGGGUGAGUAACACGUGGGCAACCUGCCCCUAGCACUGGGAUAACUCCGGGAAACCGGGGCUAAUACCGGAUAUGACCUUUGAGGGCAUCCUCGAAGGUGUAAAGGACUCUGGCUAGGGAUGGGCCCGCGGCCUAUCAGCUUGUUGGUGGGGUAAUGGCCUACCAAGGCGACGACGGGUA
rnacentral:rRNA from 1 species